rnacentral:rRNA from 1 species
GACGUACGCUGGCGGCGUGCUUAACACAUGCAAGUCGAACGGUAAGGCCCUUCGGGGUACACGAGUGGCGAACGGGUGAGUAACACGUGGGUGGUCUGCCCUGCACUUCGGGAUAAGCCUGGGAAACUGGGUCUAAUACCGGAUAGGACCCUGGGAUGCAUGUCCUGGGGUGGAAAGCUUUUGCGGUGUGGGAUGGGCCCGCGGCCUAUCAGCUUGGUGGUGGGGUGAUGGCCUACCAAGGCGACGACGGGUAGCCGGCCUGAGAGGGUGACCGGCCACACUGGGACUGAGAUACGGCCCAGACUCCUACGGGAGGCAGCAGUGGGGAAUAUUGCACAAUGGGCGCAAGCCUGAUGCAGCGACGCCGCGUGAGGGAUGACGGCCUUCGGGUUGUAAACCUCUUUCAGCACCGACGAAGCGCAAGUGACGGUAGGUGCAGAAGAAGGACCGGCCAACUACGUGCCAGCCGCCGCGGUAA